AGAGAUGGGUAAAAGAAUGUCUUACCAUCCACUGGAGUUUGAUGCCAUUAUUAAAAUGACAAAUCCCUCCACAGUGCCGUCUGACAAAGGGUUCAGCUUUUGUCCAAAUUAGUGAGAAAAAUGAUGCUCUCGAGGAAGCCAUUGAAUUCUUACUCGAGAAAGCUCCUGGACUCAAAGAUCAUAGAUCAUCACAGAUUGUGGCAUUUAUGAGGAAGGACUGUCAGGAGAUCAAUGAGCUUUGCUGCAAUCAUUAUUCGCAUCAUUCUACAAUG